GGAUCAUUACCGAGUUUACAACUCCCAAACCCAAUGUGAACGUUACCAAACUGUUGCCUCGGCGGGAUCUCUGCCCCGGGUGCGUCGCAGCCCCGGACCAAGGCGCCCGCCGGUGGACCAACCAAAACUCUUAUUGUAUACCCCCUCGCGGGUUUUUUUUAUAAUCUGAGCCUUCUCGGCGCCUCUCGUAGGCGUUUCGAAAAUGAAUCAAAACUUUCAACAACGGAUCUCUUGGUUCUGGCAUCGAUGAAGAACGCAGCGAAAUGCGAUAAGUAAUGUGAAUUGCAGAAUUCAGUGAAUCAUCGAAUCUUUGAACGCACAUUGCGCCCGCCAGUAUUCUGGCGGGCAUGCCUGUCCGAGCGUCAUUUCAACCCUCGAACCCCUCCGGGGGGUCGGCGUUGGGGAUCGGCCCUGCCUUGGCGGUGGCCGUCUCCGAAAUACAGUGGCGGUCUCGCCGCAGCCUCUCCUGCGCAGUAGUUUGCACACUCGCAUCGGGAGCGCGGCGCGUCCACAGCCGUUAAACACCCAACUUCUGAAAUGUUGACCUCGGAUCAGGUAGGAAUACCCGCUGAACUUAAGCAUAU
rnacentral:rRNA from 1 species